rnacentral:rRNA from 1 species
UACAGAGGGUGCAAGCGUUGUUCGGAAUUACUGGGCGUAAAGCGUGCGCAGGCGGCUUUGCAAGACAGAUGUGAAAUCCCCGGGCUUAACCUGGGAACUGCAUUUGUGACUGCAUGGCUGGAGUGCGGCAGAGGGGGAUGGAAUUCCGCGUGUAGCAGUGAAAUGCGUAGAUAUGCGGAGGAACACCGAUGGCGAAGGCAAUCCCCUGGGCCUGCACUGACGCUCAUGCACGAAAGCGUGGGGAGCAAACAGG